UACGUAGGGUCCGAGCGUUGUCCGGAAUUACUGGGCGUAAAGAGCUCGUAGGCGGUUUGUCGCGUUGUUCGUGAAAACUCACAACUCAAUUGUGGGCGUGCGGGCGAUACGGGCAGACUGGAGUACUGCAGGGGAGACUGGAAUUCCUGGUGUAGCGGUGGAAUGCGCAGAUAUCAGGAGGAACACCGGUGGCGAAGGCGGGUCUCUGGGCAGUAACUGACGCUGAGGAGCGAAAGCGUGGGGAGCGAACAGG
rnacentral:rRNA from 1 species